AUUGAACGCUGGCGGCAUGCCUUACACAUGCAAGUCGAACGGCAGCACGGGAGCUUGCUCCUGGUGGCGAGUGGCGAACGGGUGAGUAAUACAUCGGAACGUACCCAGUAGUGGGGGAUAACGCACCGAAAGGUGCGCUAAUACCGCAUACGACCUACGGGUGAAAGCGGGGGACCGUAAGGCCUCGCGCUAUUGGAGCGGCCGAUGUCUGAUUAGCUAGUUGGCGGGGUAAAAGCCCACCAAGGCGACGAUCAGUAGCUGGUCUGAGAGGACGACAGGCCACACUGGGACUGGGACACGGCCCAGACUCCUACGGGAGGCAGCAGUGGGGAAUUUUGGACAAUGGGGGCAACCCUGAUCCAGCAAUGCCGCGCGUGCGAAGAAGGCCUUCGGGUUGUAAAGCACUUUUGUCAGGGAAGAAAUCUUUCAGGCCAAUACCCUUGGAAGGAUGACGGUACCUGAAGAAUAAGCACCGGCUAACUACGUGCCAGCAGCCGCAGUAA
rnacentral:rRNA from 1 species